rnacentral:rRNA from 1 species
GCAUGGAGGGCUGACUAGAGAUUUAUCGGUAUGGGAUGAGCUUGCGUCCGAUUAGCUAGUUGGCGGGGCAACGGCCCACCAAGGCGACGAUCGGUAGCCGGCCUGAGAGGGUGAUCGGCCACAUUGGGACUGAGAUACGGCCCAGACUCCUACGGGAGGCAGCAGUAGGGAAUAUCGCACAAUGGGGGAAACCCUGAUGCAGCAACGCCACGUGUGGGAAGAAGCAUUUCGGUGUGUAAACCACUGUCAUGAGGGAAUAAGGCCCUUAUUCGUAAGGGAUUGAAUGUACCUUGAGAGGAAGCACCGGCAAACUUCGUGCCAGCAGCCGCGGUAAUACGAGGGGUGCAAGCGUUGUUCGGAAUUACUGGGCGUAAAGGGAGCGUAGGCGGAGAUUCAAGCGGAUUGUACAAUCCCGGGGCCCAACCCCGGUUCUGCAGUCCGAACUGGAUCUCUUGGAUAGUUCAGGGGCAGGCGGAAUUCCUGGUGUAGCGGUAGAAUGCGUAGAGAUCAGGAAGAACACCGAUGGCGAAGGCAGCCUGCUGGGGACUCAUCGACGCUGAGGCUCGAAAGUGCGGGUAGCAAACAGGAUUAGAUACCCUGGUAGUCCGCACCGUAAACAAUGCAUACUGGGUGUCCGGGGGUUCCCCCGGGUACCGUAGCC